CAGACGCAGAAACAGAAGCUGGCUCUCCUGCACUUGGCUAUCUGUCACGCUGCGUCCUAUACUCCCAGCGGCAAGGAUUUUUGCGGCCCGUUGGCUGUCUUGCCGCGGGUGGCACCCGCAUCUGUGACCACCGUGACCGCCCCAUCGAUAACCCGCUCGCUGCCCCCUUCGUUCUGUUUCCAGCGCCCACUGCCCGCACAGGUGUCAAAGCCAACUGUUCAGAGAAAGCGGCCCUUUUCCCUUUGGUGCACGGAAGGAAGAAAGCAAAAUGAACUCUCGCAAGAAGCUGACUGUGCUCUGCGUCGGACAGUGCUGCGACACGUAGCCUCCGCGAGCCGCUGCAGGGCUCCGCUCUCGGCGCAGUGUUCGCCGAUGUGGUUGAAUCGCUCUUCAGCCGCGACUCAGCUCAAUGUACGGUUUAUGAAGCCUGUUAAAAAGAGAAUCAAAUAUAAGAAUGCUAUAUACACAUACAGAAAUAACAUAUAUAUGUAUAUACAAUAUAUAUUACAUAUCUACAUCUACAAGCGUCAGUUACCCCGCACUUGCCCUUCGCCCGUGUGCACGAGCCACAACUUUCCUUGUACAAAUACCGAUGUCGUUGAUGUACGUUUGUUGCAUCGUUGGAUCGUUGGAUCACCCGGCCCCUCUUUCACGGUCUAAAUGGCCGAUUUCAGACGGUGUAUAGAUAUAUCACGUGUGUGUAUAUGUGCAUGUUAGUUCGUGGAUAUUUUUUGUUCACCUGUUGAGAAACGUAAGCUGUAAAAGUGAUAUUUGCGUAAUGUGCACACAAAGGUACGGCGCUGUCGAUUUUGUUAAUGUUUUGAGAAAAAAAAAAACAUCAUUACUGUUUUGUGGGAACGUGCCUUACGCCUUUGUUUUGCUGUUUCACCAUUUUAUCUCCUUGCUGUGUAAAUAUUAAAAAAAAGUGUGUUGAUAUCAAUAAAGUAUACUUUUCGCA